CCACCCCCGAAAAAAGGGAACCGCCCCACAAGGCCAGGAUGAAUUUAGUCUGGAGACACUGAUGACAAGUGCAAUUAGGAGAGAUUCCCUCAUUCAACACUGUGAAUGAAGAGUGUGAGGACCUCUCCUGUGGUAGUACCUGGAAAUGAAGACUCAGGUCUUGCUGUCACCUGUUCUGCCCCAUUUCACUUCCCUCCCUAUUCAGUAUGAAAACCCUUCUCUCACAGGAAGGCCAAUAAAAAGUUUAGCUCUUUCA